rnacentral:lncRNA from 1 species
CCUGCCCCUGCGGUGAGGGAGGGAGAUGACUGGCACAUCCAGUCAGUCUUUAAACAGAUGGGUGUCUCUGCCACGCUCCAGGCCCAGGGGCAGACACAAGACACCGAUCCCGCAUGGCUGGGGCUGAGGCACUGUUUGGUCCCACUGAGCAGCCCUAUAUCACACUGCCAGGAUGUGCAAGGACGAAUAAGAGCCCGACCUUGCCCUAGAGGCGCUCAAGUACUUGUGAGGGGAAAACAGACUCGCAAAUAGAUAAUGCCCCAGGACAAGUGCCGUAAAAAAGAGGAGGAGAAUAUGGGAGGUGCAGAGGAGAGGCGGUAGGCCCCGCGGCCACUUAGAAGGCGGAAGCGUGUCCGGGCUGAGAUGAGAAUCCGCAAGGACUGACAGGUUGGGACCAGGCGGCGGCCAGGGAGCUGGGAGCCGGCAGGUUGAAUCUCAAACCUCCAUCGGUCUGGAUAGAGAGACUCUAAGCAUGAGGCUGCUCCGGUUUUCCUCACUGCCCAGCGCCGGCGGUCCAGCGUGGGUGUGGAGAUGCACAGGAAACGGGGGACUCUGAGUCACCCACAUUUUUGAGGGGUGGGGAGGAGCUGGACCUUCCUCACAGAGCUGAGAGAUCGGGGGAGUUAGAGCCAGGCCUGGCUGGAGGGUCGGACGUCUGAGUUGCGUGUGCCAUCAGCAGGGGGGCGUGGCCAGGAGAACAGAGAUAAGCAGAAACCCGCCCAUUUGGUGGCCUAGGGAGGGGGCCGCGGGGCGGGGCCCCCUGUGGCCAGCAGAGGGCGCGCGGGAGGCGGGCCGGCCCUGGAGAGGGCUCCCGCGAGGGCGGCGGCGAGGUGGCGGCGCGGGCCCGGGCGCCCUCUGCCGGGCCGGCCCCGGAAGCCCGGACUCGCCGCUUCCGCAGCGGAGUCUCCCCUCCCGCUCUCCCGCCGCGCGCGCUGGGCUGCGCUCAGAAUCCCCCAGGGAACGGGGGUCCAGCCCUGGAGAAGCCGUCUAGGUCUGGGACAGCCAGUUCUGGGGCCACCCGUCGCAUUGUUGGGCUCCCUCUCCGGCUUCUCGGACCGUUGGCUCUCCAGCUUUUGCUCGAUCUCCUCCGGGGACCCCCCAGCACCCUCAACAUGCAUGUACCUCCUUUCAACCGAACAGGACAGGAGUGCGGCCCCAUUUCACAGAGGGUCACCCAGGGGAAACAGAGGAGCGAGAGGACUCCGGCCCGGCUGGCGCAGGCAGGGCAAGGUUCCCGAAGGAGCCCUCGGAACAGGAAUAGGGGUACAGGAAGGACGUUUCUGGAAGUGCCCUGAGCGCGCCAAAGCGGGGGGCAGGCGGGCGAGGUGCCGCCGGAGCCCCUCUGCGGAUCUUCGAGGAGGUCGGCGCUGCCCAUGUGGGGUCCGAGACUCGGACUCUCCAGACACAGCCCGCCCCAUCCGGCUGGGGAGAGGUCCCCGGCAAGCCCUGGGUGGAGCCAGGUCCCGGGGCCACCCAGGCGUCUGUCGCGGUGGGCGGUGAGAGUGAGAGCACCUGGUCGUUCGCCGCCUACCCCUCGGGCCCCGCAGCCCCUUUCGUGCGGGAAGGACGGCCGCCUCCACCUAGGCUUCCGCCAACUUUAACCAUAUUAUCUCUCCUGCCCCUACGAGUUUCCACAGUAAGGGGGCGGGGGUUGCAGGUAAUUCGCCUUCAGCCCCCGGGAACGACGUCAUCAUUCCUUUACACCAUCCCCUCAGGUCUGACUCCAACGGGGAAGUCCUUCCUGGUGUCUGACCACCAUUCCUCCUGCUGCAACUUCAGCUAAACCUUACAAGUUCUGUCCUCAGCGGAGCAAGUGGGUGCUUUAACAUUCCUUCUCUUAGCUAAAUAAUCCAAAGCUCUAUUCCCUCUUCCACGCUGACAUCCCGUUUGCCCAUCCUGACAAGGCUUCCCUUUAAGGGCCCCGAUCUUUGCUUUCUGCCUGCUUUCACCGUCAAGAUAAUCCAAGAUUGCUUUCUGAUUGGCUGCCCCCUCCCUUCCAAUUUCCCCUUUCACUACAGGACCUCCCCGGCCGUACCAGUAUCCAAGUACCACGCGCCUGGGCGCGUAGAUGGACUCAGUUUCCUCGGUGGGAAGUUGCACUGCCUCUGUGGUGCCCCUCUGUUUAUGGGAGUUCUGCUCCACCGCACCUAGGUCAUCUCACCCAUCCCCCAGCUUCUGAACAGGAUGCCGCCACAUUCUGUCAUUGAUCUCAAAACUAUUUGAGCGCCUACUAUGCCUCCGGUCCGAGUUCCUCGCCUCAACUCCCAGCCCCUCCGGCGGCUCCCUAGGCUUAGAGGAAGGAGCGGGAGAUCCAGGAGUACCGAUCUCCAGUCCAGGGCGCAGGGUAAGAGAGCUGAAGGUCGUCGGUGACUGGGUGAAGCCACUGGGGUAGGGCGGGGGUGGGCAGACGCCGGCGGGUCUGGGUGCUCAGGGGCCGCAGAAAGGACACUGCGCCACGCGCCGCUGCCUCCCAGCGCUCGAGCCCAGCGCGGGAUUUCCCAUUCUUAGCGCAAGGAAGACCCCUUGUGGCUGUUGUGAGAAGAGCCGGCGAAGAAAGGAGGCCAGAGCCGGGAGAUGACAGUCCCCUGCCCAGCCUCCCUGCUAUCCUGCCUGGGGUAGGGACUUGUUCCCUAGGGGGCCUUCGUGGCUCGCUAUGCCCAGAAAUCCUCCACCCAUUCCCAUACCAUCAAAACCCAACAACUGGGACUUCGGGAAUAGAGUCUUCUCGCCAAAUCACAAGGAAAAAUAAAACACAAACAGUAGCAAGUGAGACUGUGGUUAGACUCCUGGAAGGACUUCUCUCGAAGCGGCUGGGAAGCAGGAGGAUGGAUUGCGAUGAAGGGAUGAAAGAAGACAGGCUUUCCGACCCUCCCCUUCCCUGGCAGUGGGGAGAGCGUUCUCCGAGUUCUCCGAGGAAUCCUCAGCCCCUGCCCUGCGGCUCCUUCCCGCUCACAGCGAAGGAAGCUCUCCCCAGCCGGGGGCUCAGGUAGUGUCAGCGCCAGGGGCCGUCCCUCUGCCCACCCUUAGGAGGGAUGGGGGGUGCGCAAGGUCAUCGAGGACAGGGACGGGACCCCACGUUCGUCACGAUAGACCGUUGCACUCCUGAGAAGAUGCAUCCCACCCCCACCCGCGUCUGAGCUCCUUUGGGGAGCGGAAGCGCGCUAACAGUGCUGCGCCCCUUCCCCCACCCUUUGACGCUGCUAGCUACCAAGCCCCGGCCCGGGCAAUGCAAAUUUGCAUACAUUUGCAUCCCCAGCUGCGCACAGCUGCAUCCGGCUUUGGGCCAUAAAUUCGUGGCGGGAGGCUCCGGGCGAGCGGGUCCCGCGCCGCCGCCGCGCCUGUUCGCGCCCCGGGGGCCGCGGGUUCUCACGCCUCCCUGAGCAGCCGCCGGCGCUGUCCGGCCCUGCCCCGCCUCGCGCCACCUUCUGGGCGUCUGUCUGCCUCGCAUGCCGCAGCUGCAGCUGCAGCCGCAGGCCAGGCCUGAACCCCCAGAUCCCCCUUUCUCCAUCUCUCCUGGACUCGACCGGGUCAUUGUCUCCUAAAUCUAUUCACGUCUCUCUGACGCCUCGGGCCGGGGGCUUCUGGUCAGAUUUUCGUGCCAGGACUAGUGGUAGCCUUCUAGGUGGCAGUCCUGCCUCCGUGGGUACCUUGCUAGAAAACAGGUCUGAUCAUGGUCAACAGCUUAAAACACUGCAGACCCCCUAGGCUUGCAGAAUAAAGCUUAUAUUGUUCACUCUCGCCAAGAAAAGCCCCUCACGUUCUGCCGCAUUCCUCCUUUCUUUAUCUUCAGUUUUGUCUCCUGCAUCGUAGCCAGACCCAGGCCCACAACAGCCUGUGCUUCAGUUACACAAAAUUGCAGGCGAGUCAUCAGACUCCCCGUGAGCUCUCUCCCUCUGCCUGCCCUUUACCUGCGCCUCGUCUCCACCUGGACCACCCCUCCCUCUUGUCUGUCCUCUGGGGAGAUCUCCCUAAUUUCUCUCACUUUGUUGCUGUGUCCCAGUUCCCACAGAGCUUGGUCCCAGGAGAUGCUCAGAAAUACUGAAUGAGUGAGUGAAUGAAUGAAUGAAGAAUAAAGCUGCAGUUGUCCCAGGCACUAGGAAUAUGACACACAUACAGACACUCAGGGCUCCACUGGUCCCAAGUGGCCUUCACAUGACCUCUGUGAGCCCACAGGAGAGCCCCUCUCCCCGGUCCUUUUGGGUCCUCUCAUACCUCUCCAGGCACCCCCAAGGGGGUGAGGGGUGAGAAGCCAGGAGGAUUAUGAGUGGGGGGAGCUGGCACAGUGACAGAGCACCUGACUCAGAGUCAAGAGGCCUAGGUUCAAACUCUAGUGCUGCAUGACCUUGGAAAAAUUAACUUCCUCUUGCUGAGGCUGUUUCCUCAACUGUCAAAAUGGGAAUAACAUUGACUAUUAAUAGGGAUUUCAUAAUAAUUGAAUGAAAUAGUUCAUGAAAUGUGUACUACCUGUCAAAAAGGGUUGGAUUCCUUGAGGUCCAGACAGACGAUGUGGGGAUCCAUCUUGCCCCCUUCCCCUGGGGAUGAAAGCACCUCCACGAAC